rnacentral:rRNA from 1 species
UUGAUCUCAAAUCAGACAGGACUACCCGCUGAACUUAAGCAUAUCAAUAAGCGGAGGAAAAGAAACUAACAAGGAUUCCCCUAGUAACUGCGAGUGAAGCGGGAAAAGCUCAAAUUUAAAAUCUGGCGGUCCUUUGGCUGUCCGAGUUGUAAUCUAGAGAAGUGUUACCCGCGCUGGACCAUGGACAAGUCUCCUGGAAUGGAGCAUCACAGAGGGUGAGAAUCCCGUCUUUGACAUGGACUGCCAGGGCUUUGUGGUGCGCUCUCAAAGAGUCGAGUUGUUUGGGAAUGCAGCUCAAAAUGGGUGGUAAAUGCCAUCUAAAGCUAAAUAUUGGCGAGAGACCGAUAGCGAACAAGUACCGUGAGGGAAAGAUGAAAAGAACUUUGGAAAGAGAGUUAAACAGUACGUGAAAUUGCUGAAAGGGAAACGCUUGAAGUCAGUCACAUCAACUGGAAAUCAACCUUGCUUUUGCUUGGUGUACUUUCUGGGUGGAUGGGUCAGCAUCAAUUUUGAUUGUUGGAUAAAGGCUUUGGGAAUGUGGCAUCUUAGGAUGUGUUAUAGCCCAUGGUUGCAUACAGCAGUUGGGAUUGAGGAGCUCAGCAUGCCGCAAGGCCGGGUUUUGACCACGCAACAUGCUUAGGAUGCUGGCAUAAUGGCUUUAAUCGACCCGUC